rnacentral:rRNA from 1 species
UACGUAGGUGGCAAGCGUUGUCCGGAAUCAUUGGGCGUAAAGAGCGCGUAGGCGGCUGGAAUAGUCCGGUGUGAAAUCCACAGGCUUAACCUGUGAAUGCCGCUGGAAACUGUCUGGCUAGAGUCCGGAAGGGGCGAGUGGAAUUCCUGGUGUAGCGGUGAAAUGCGCAGAUAUCAGGAGGAACACCGAUGGCGAAGGCAGCUCACUGGGACGGUACUGACGCUGAGGCGCGAAAGCGUGGGGAGCAAACAGG